rnacentral:rRNA from 1 species
GACGGGGGGGGCAAGUGUUCUUCGGAAUGACUGGGCGUAAAGGGCACGUAGGCGGUGAAUCGGGUUGAAAGUGAAAGUCGCCAAAAAGUGGCGGAAUGCUCUCGAAACCAAUUCACUUGAGUGAGUCAGAGGAGAGUGGAAUUUCGUGUGUAGUGGUGAAAUGCGUAGAGAUCGGGAGGAACACCCGUGGCGAAGGCGGCAUCCUGGACCGACAUUGACGCUGAGGAGCGAAAGCUAGGGGAGCAAACGGG